GCGGGUGUAGCUCAGUUGGUAGAGCACCACGUUGCCAACGUGGUUGUCGAGGGUUCGAGUCCCUUCACCCGCU
rnacentral:tRNA from 4 species